rnacentral:rRNA from 1 species
CGCAAGCCUGAUCCAGCAAUGCCGCGUGAGUGAUGAAGGCCUUAGGGUUGUAAAGCUCUUUCACCCACGACGAUGAUGACGGUAGUGGGAGAAGAAGCCCCGGCUAACUUCGUGCCAGCAGCCGCGGUAAUACGAAGGGGGCUAGCGUUGUUCGGAAUGACUGGGCGUAAAGGGCGCGUAGGCGGUUGACCAAGUUGGGGGUGAAAGCCCGGGGCUUAACCUCGGAAUUGCCUCCAAAACUGGUCGGCUUGAGUGUGGAAGAGGGUUGUGGAAUUCCCAGUGUAGAGGUGAAAUUCGUAGAUAUUGGGAAGAACACCAGUGGCGAAGGCGACAACCUGGUCCAUUACUGACGCUGAGGCGCGACAGCGUGGGGAGCAAACAGGAUUAGAUACCCUGGUAGUCCACGCCGUAAACGAUGAGUGCUGGAUGUUGGACGGUUGCCGUUCAGUGUCGAAG